GACGAACGCUGGCGGCGUGCCUAAUACAUGCAAGUCGAGCGAAUCGAUGGGAGCUUGCUCCCUGAGAUUAGCGGCGGACGGGUGAGUAACACGUGGGUAACCUGCCUGUAAGACUGGGAUAACUUCGGGAAACCGGAGCUAAUACCGGCUAAUUUCUUUUCUCGCAUGAGAGAAGAUGGAAAGAUGGCAUCUCGCUAUCACUUACAGAUGGACCCGCGGCGCAUUAGCUAGUUGGUGAGGUAACGGCUCACCAAGGCGACGAUGCGUAGCCGACCUGAGAGGGUGAUCGGCCACACUGGGACUGAGACACGGCCCAGACUCCUACGGGAGGCAGCAGUAGGGAAUCUUCCGCAAUGGACGAAAGUCUGACGGAGCAACGCCGCGUGAGCGAAGAAGGCCUUCGGGUCGUAAAGCUCUGUUGUUAGGGAAGAACAAGUACGAGAGUAACUGCUUGUACCUUGACGGUACCUACCAGAAAGCCACGGCUAACUACGUGCCAGCCGCCGCGGUAA
rnacentral:rRNA from 1 species